rnacentral:tRNA from 1 species
GUUUAUGUAAUUUAAUAAAAAUAUUGAUCUUGUAAAUCAAAAAUAAGUUAAAUACUUCUUAAACU